rnacentral:miRNA from 1 species
AAGAGUGCACCCCCUUUCCAAU